GACGAACGCUGGCGGCGUGCCUAAUACAUGCAAGUAGAACGCUGAAGGAGGAGCUUGCUUCUCUGGAUGAGUUGCGAACGGGUGAGUAACGCGUAGGUAACCUGCCUGGUAGCGGGGGAUAACUAUUGGAAACGAUAGCUAAUACCGCAUAAGAGUAGAUGUUGCAUGACAUUUGCUUAAAAGGUGUAAUUGCAUCACUACCAGAUGGACCUGCGUUGUAUUAGCUAGUUGGUGGGGUAACGGCUCACCAAGGCGACGAUACAUAGCCGACCUGAGAGGGUGAUCGGCCACACUGGGACUGAGACACGGCCCAGACUCCUACGGGAGGCAGCAGUAGGGAAUCUUCGGCAAUGGACGGAAGUCUGACCGAGCAACGCCGCGUGAGUGAAGAAGGUUUUCGGAUCGUAAAGCUCUGUUGUAAGAGAAGAACGAGUGUGAGAGUGGAAAGUUCACACUGUGACGGUAUCUUACCAGAAAGGGACGGCUAACUACGUG
rnacentral:rRNA from 1 species